GACGAACGCUGGCGGCGUGCUUAACACAUGCAAGUCGAACGGGCCUUGUCCCCUUUUUUUUUGGGGGUGGGGUUAGUGGCGAACGGGUGAGUAACCCGUGAGUAACCUGCCCCUCACUUCUGGAUAACCGCUUGAAAGGGUGGCUAAUACGGGGUGUUCUGGCCUGCUCGCAUGGGUGGGUUUGGAAAGAUUCGACCGGUUUUGGUUGUUUUGGUGGGGGAUGGGCUCGCGGCCUAUCAGCUUGUUGGUGGGGUGAUGGCCUGCCAAGGCUUUGACGGGUAGCCGGCCUGAGAGGGUGGGCGGUCACACUGGGACUGAGACACGGCCCAGACUCCUACGGGAGGCAGCAGUGGGGAAUAUUGCACAAUGGGCGCAAGCCUGAUGCAGCGACGCCGCGUGAGGGAUGGAGGCCUUCGGGUUGUGAACCUCUUUCGCCAGUGAAGAAGGUCCUGCUCUUUGUGGUGGGGUUGACGGUAGCUGGGUUAAUGAAGCGCCGGCUAACUACGUG
rnacentral:rRNA from 1 species